UCCAGACUCCUACGGGAGGCAGCAGUGGGGAAUACUGCACAAUGGGGGAAACCCUGAUGCAGCGACGCCGCGUGAGUGAAGAAGUAUUUCGGUAUGUAAAGCUCUCUCAGCAGGGAAGAAAAUGACGGUACCUGACUAAGAAGCCCCGGCUAACUACGUGCCAGCAGCCGCGGUAAUACGUAGGGGGCAAGCGUUAUCCGGAUUUACUGGGUGUAAAGGGAGCGUAGACGGCAUGGCAAGUCAGAUGUGAAAGCCCGGGGCUCAACCCCGGGACUGCAUUUGAAACUGUCAGGCUGGAGUGCAGGGGAGGUAAGUGGAAUUCCUAGUGUAGCGGUGAAAUGCGUAGAUAUUAGGAGGAACACCAGUGGCGAAGGCGGCUUACUGGACUGUAACUGACGUUGAGGCUCGAAAGCGUGGGGAGCAAACAGGAUUAGAUACCCCCGUAGG
rnacentral:rRNA from 1 species